GAUGAACGCUAGCGGCAGGCCUAAUACAUGCAAGUCGAACGGUGUAGCAAUACACAGUGGCGCACGGGUGCGUAACACGUAUGCAACCUACCUAUCAUUGGGGGAUAGCCUUUGGAAACGGAGAUUAAUACCGCAUAAGACAGUAACAUGGCAUCAUGUAGCUGUUAAAGCUUUGGCGAUGAUAGAUGGGCAUGCGUCCAAUUAGUUAGUUGGUGAGGUAACGGCUCACCAAGACGAUGAUUGGUAGAGGAUCUGAGAGGCGAAUCCCCCACACUGGCAAUGAGCUAAGGGCCAGAGUCCUACGGGCGGCAGCAGUAGGGAAUAUUGGGCAAUUGACGGAAGUCUGACCCAGCCAUGCCGGGUGCAGGAAGAAGGCGUUAUGCGUUGUAAACUGCUUUUUUAUAGGAAGAAGGAGACCUUGCGAGGUUUGGUGACGGUACUAUAAGAAUAAGCACCGGCUAACUCCGUGCCAGCAGCCGCGGUAACAC
rnacentral:rRNA from 1 species